AUUGAACGCUGGCGGCAGGCCUAACACAUGCAAGUCGAGCGAGCGGCGGACAGGUGAGUAAUGCCUGGGAGUUGCCCGGUAGAGGGGGAUAAAAGUGGGACACGACUGCUAAAACCGCAUACGAUCGGAGUGCCCAGGUGGGAUUAGCUAGUUGGUGAGGUAAUGGCUCACAAAGGCGACGAUCCCUAGCUGGUCUGAGAGGAUGAUCAGCCACACUGGAACUGAGACACGGUCCAGACUCCUACGGGAGGCAGCAGUGGGGAAUAUUGCACAAUGGGCGAAACCCUGAUGCAGCCAUGCCGCGUGUGUGAAGAAGGCCUUCGGGUUGUAAAGCACUUUCAGCGAGGAGGCGUUACUCGCAGAAGAAGCACCGGCUAACUCCGUGCCAGCAGCCGCGGUAAUAC
rnacentral:rRNA from 1 species